UAUUCGAACGGUGACGGGAAUUGGGGCAGCGGUAUUAAAUUACGUCGUAUCUUACUGGCUACACCAGGUUGGGUUUAGUUAAGCAGAGCGGUUAUUGAACUUAAUAGCAAAUCACGGUGAACUGACGCUGGUAACCAGCUUUUUGGUAAACAGUACUAACGUUAGAGAUACUAGUGCUACGUAAUUUUUAUCGGCGAAGGAACAACGUUCCAGGUCAUGUUGCACCUUUAAGUCGACGAAACAGUGCGUAGCAAGUGAUUCACAAGAACUUCUCAUAGGUGUAAUCAGUAACAUUGUUGAAUCAUCAUCAGUAGUGAAUUCUACUUAUUUGGCUUCUAGACGGAGCAUUUUAACUAUUUUCCCGCUUUUAGAGGAUUUCUCCGAACAUCUCAGUGAAGCAGAGGAGAACGGCAAGAUGGCUGACAGUAUACACAGCGAACACACAGAGGACAGGGAUGCCACCUCCGCAGCUGUUGUGAACGUCGAGGUUGGGGCGAAGACACGGGCGCUGCCUCGCUACCUGCUGCUAAUCCGCUGCCCGGAGCAAACGCAUGCUAUUGUGGCUCCAUUAGCCUCCACAGUAGAACCGACGCGUCUGGUCAGCCGACAGGGCAAGCCUGUGUGAUGAAUGGGGUCACCACGCGGCAGUGGUCAUCGACCCUGAGCCAACUGACAUGAAAUGUUUGUUGAAUACACGUGAAAGACACUGGAAUUUACAUAAAUUUAGACAUGAUAUCAGUCGUGUAAGGGAGAGAGUUAACAACAACUAGCUACAGAGAUGAGGGCCGCCGAUUAGACGAUGGCUACCCGGGCUUCUGGUCAGACCUGUCCUGUUCUGCUGCUCUGUGGUACCGCAGGGCUACCUCUGAUGUUACUUGUUUGGUAGUAACCCCACGUCUGCCCUAUGCUUCUAGCUCGUCUUGCACGCCUACUCAGCCUAGUGCUCUCGCUAACAACCACCGUAUGGAGUCAUGCUGCCACAGCCGCAAUUCUAUUCACACAGGUUUUCAAACUAUCGUGUCUCAGUGAUUUCUUAAGACGGCACAUAUAUUACAGUCUUUAUCAUUGUUGUGAUGGUAUUUGUACAGAAACGAAGGUAAUAGGGUAACAGACUGAAUAAAUCAUAAUUAUACUAUUACUUUGUAUAGAGCCGCCAGAGACCGUGGGUUCCUUGUACCAAAAUACCUAAAAGGUAUACCUGAACAACCUUUGAAAAUUUGUUGCUUGAGUUCUAGUUCGAGUUGGAACUUAAAUAGUGGAAACUAUUUAUUCACAGCCGAUACAAAGGAGUUACAUGUUUGCACCUGUUACUGUCCAAAAUAGUCACCAGCGUUGUGUAGAACCCAUUGCCAGCGAUGUGGAAGGCAUAGUAUACCGUUAGCAGAGCCUGUUCUGUUAAUGGUGCAAAUGGAGCGGUGUACUGCCUGUCAAAUCUUUGUAACAGUUCUGAAGCGAAUGCGGCGAAGUGGUUCCUUCAUCUUCAGAAUCAAAUCGAAGUCACAAGAACUCAAGUCUUGGGAGUAUAGUGGAUGGUACAUUACUUCCCAGUCCCAUCGACCCAACAGAGCAGCCACAGCUUGCGCUGUAUGCGCCCGCGCAUUGUUGUGCAAAAUGAUGGGUGGGUUGUGCAGAAAGUGUCGCCGCUUCUUUCGCAAAUCUGGUCGCAGGUGAUGCUCCAAAAACGAACAGUAGUGUUGCGCAUUGACAGUCUGCUGUGGAGGAACUUAAUGCGUUAGGAUAACACCAUCACAGUUGUACACGAGAAUCACCAUAACUUUCACCAUACUGGGGCUCUGACGCACUUUCAACUUUCACGGCGACCCAUGAUGACGCCAUUCGUUGGAUUGGAGUUUCAGUUUUGGCUCUUACGAUGUGGCCCAUGUCUCAUCCAGUAUUACGAUAAGGCGUAAGAAAGCCCCUCCUUCGCGCUCAUAGUGCUCCAAGUGCGUCUGAGCAGCGUCGUAAUGCAUCCAUUUCUGUAUUUCCGUCAAGUCAUGUGGAAGUCAUCGUGAUGCAAUUUUUCGCAUGCCCAGGCAUUCCUUCAGGAUGCGAAGCACAGUUGUAUGCGCUAAUCCGGUUUUGUGGGCAAUCUCACGAAUCUUAUGGCGUCGACCAAUGUCCAUUAACACGGCAACAGCGUGCACUUCUUCUUCAGAGACGCUAGGACGACCUGCCCCAUGCAUGUCUGCCACAGUCUGCCGACCUUCGUUGAAGGCUUUUACCCAACGUGCCACUGUUCUGUACGGCAAUGCCGAUUCCCCGUACACCUCUUGAAGACCUUGAUGAGACUGUCCUGCUUUACGACAUCUGGCACAUUCAAUCUUGAUCCAACUCCGUUGUUCCUGUUUCGAAAAUAUAGUGACACCAUUACGUUAGACUGCUCACUCACAAGUGACUGUGUUUCCCUCGAUUGUACACACGGGACGGGCGAGUCUAUUUGCUCGGAGGGUAAGGUAGGUAUGUCAACAGUGUGUGCUAUCAGCGACAAUAGUAGAUUCCAUUGCAUAGUGUCUCCACAGCAGUGUUGCCACUACUUAAGUUCCAACCUAUGUAUAUAGAAUGUGUGAAUGCGUGUGCAUGUAUGCAUGUAUGUAUGAGAGAGAGAGAGAGAGUGAGAAAGUCAGAGAGAAUGAGAGAGUGCAUGCUCUGCCCACUAUGUGUAUGUGAGGUUUCCUACCAUGUAAACACAUUAGGUUGUUUAUAUUUUUUGCACACUAUGUGUAUAAGCUACUGUAAUUACUUACCUGCUGCUGGCAUUAUAAAAUCUAGGUCAUAUUUAGUCUAUCGAUGUUAUGUUUCAUAAGCAGACUGUAAAUAUUCCAUCUGAUAUGUUACAAUGUGCUUGACACUGUGAAAAACUGUGUCAUAUGACUAUUCCAAGUGAUAAAAAUUGUUGAAAACAUGUUAGUGCAUCAAUGCCAACUAUUUUAAACUGUGAAAAAACAUGCCACAACGUUGCAAGCUGUGCUAUGACUAUUCUAAUCUGUUGAAAACCAUAUGAUUGUGUCAAUAUCUAAAAACAUAUUAACCUGUGAGAUUUAUUAUGUAUAUC